rnacentral:lncRNA from 1 species
GAAGAAAAAGAUUAUAUAAAAUGGAAAACAGCUCUUCAACAACCAUUACAUUGCCCAAACACCAAUCUUUACAUCUUAAACCAAUAUGUAGCUUUCUGGAAAGCACUACAACUCCAUCAAUGCCUAAAUGCAGUGGAAUAAAUUAUAAAACAGGAAUAAAAACACAGGGAGGAACCACCAUCAUGAGGUUUUUUACCUAGGGCUCUCCCAGGAACCACCUCUGUUUAGUUGUG